AAGCAAGCUUGCCAACAUUGCCAUUCAUCAGCUCACUUAUCAAUUUUGUGUCGAGAAGUCAAGACGGACAUCGUCUUUUCGUAAAACUUAAAAUGAGAGCUAAGUGGCGUAAGAAGCGUAUGCGGAGGCUAAAGCGAAAACGCAGGAAGAUGCGUGCGAGGUCCAAGUAAAUUUCAGGAUGCCGGCAUCUGCUUCCGCAGUUAAGUAUUAGGCAUCUAAGUUAUUUACUGUUAAGUACCGAGGACAUAUAUGCUAUCGGAUCUUGAAUGUAUUUUACUAUGUGAAAUAUGAAUAAAAACAGAAUAGGCACCGGACAUGAAAUUAAUGUAACGGCAAAA